AUUGAACGCUGGCGGCAGGCCUAACACAUGCAAGUCGAGCGGAUGACGGGAGCUUGCUCCUUGAUUCAGCGGCGGACGGGUGAGUAAUGCCUAGGAAUCUGCCUGGUAGUGGGGGACAACGUUUCGAAAGGAACGCUAAUACCGCAUACGUCCUACGGGAGAAAGCAGGGGACCUUCGGGCCUUGCGCUAUCAGAUGAGCCUAGGUCGGAUUAGCUAGUAGGUGAGGUAAUGGCUCACCUAGGCGACGAUCCGUAACUGGUCUGAGAGGAUGAUCAGUCACACUGGAACUGAGACACGGUCCAGACUCCUACGGGAGGCAGCAGUGGGGAAUAUUGGACAAUGGGCGAAAGCCUGAUCCAGCCAUGCCGCGUGUGUGAAGAAGGUCUUCGGAUUGUAAAGCACUUUAAGUUGGGAGGAAGGGCAGUAAGCGAAUACCUUGCUGUUUUGACGUUACCAACAGAAUAAGCACCGGCUAACUUCGUGCCAGCAGCCGCGGUAAAAC
rnacentral:rRNA from 1 species